rnacentral:rRNA from 1 species
GACGAACGCUGGCGGCGUGCUUAACACAUGCAAGUCGAACGGAGCACCCCUGAAGGAGUUUUCGGACAACGGAAGGGAAUGCUUAGUGGCGGACUGGUGAGUAACGCGUGAGGAACCUGCCUUUCGGAGGGGGACAACAGUUGGAAACGACUGCUAAUACCGCAUGACGCAUUUGGAUCGCAUGGUCUGAAUGUCAAAGAUUUAUCGCCGAAAGAUGGCCUCGCGUCUGAUUAGCUAGUUGGUGAGGUAACGGCCCACCAAGGCGACGAUCAGUAGCCGGACUGAGAGGUUGGCCGGCCACAUUGGGACUGAGAUACGGCCCAG